GAAUUCGAUUCAGGCCUAACACAUGCAAGUCGAACGGCAGCACGGGUGCUUGCACCUGGUGGCGAGUGGCGAACGGGUGAGUAAUAUAUCGGAACGUACCUUAUUGUGGGGGAUAACGCAGCGAAAGCUGUGCUAAUACCGCAUAAUCCCUAAGGGGGAAAGCGGGGGACCGUAAGGCCUCGCGCAAUUAGAGCGGCCGAUACCUGAUUAGCUAGUUGGUGAGGUAAAGGCUCACCAAGGCAACGAUCAGUAGCUGGUCUGAGAGGACGAUCAGCCACACUGGGACUGAGACACGGCCCAGACUCCUACGGGAGGCAGCAGUGGGGAAUUUUGGACAAUGGGGGCAACCCUGAUCCAGCAAGGCCGCGUGAGUGAAGAAGGCCUUCGGGUUGUAAAGCUAUGUUGUCAGGGAAGAAACAGCAGCUCUAACACAGUUUGCGAAUGAC
rnacentral:rRNA from 1 species